UCUAACACAAAGCCUAUUUUAUAAUAAAGUGUUGACUGUCUUGUGUAACGUAUUGAAUACUGUACUGAAAGUGAACAACAGAAUGGUUGGAUCUGUACAGAACGGUGGUAAGUGUGUCGGUUGUUUACCCUUGUGAUGCUGUGGUUGACUGGGAGCUGCGGCUGCCGCCACUGCCCAGCAUCCCGAGAGAGGAUCAUAUCUCAUAUUGCUAGGCUGGGAAAAGAUCAAAAUUCAAAAGUCGAAGUAUGGUUUCUACUGAAGGUGUAUCGCUUUUGCACCAUCAGAAAAUUGAAAAAUUGUAAGUCAAACCAUUGCAAGUUGAGGACUGCCUGUAUAUCCAUUGUUCUAACAUCAUACAGAGUAUUUUCACUGCCCUAAAAAAUCUGUGCUCUGCCUGUUCACCUCCCUCAACACUCCCACUCCAUACUCCUUACUUGUAGACAGACUGGAGAAGGUUCUGGUCUAAAGGUUAUGCAGUUGGUUAACAACAGAACUAUGACUGGAUCAGCCCUUCUGAACUCUCGGCUGAAGAGUAACAGUGAUUUCCAGUUAGUGAAGUGCCUCCGUUUAUACUUAUUCCCGUUAAUCCUGACACCAAACCUCUACCUGCUUUAAGAUCCAAUUCUUUGCCCAGGACCAUCCUCCAGAACGGGAGCCCCCAGGCCAAGCCCUGAGGGAGAGAGGACACCCCAAGGCACAGCUGCCAGGAAGAACUUGGAGACAAACAAGCUGUGAGGCAUUCUGCAGAAAUCUUGCGUCCAUGAGCACCUGCCUUCAGUCCAUUCUGGCCCCUUCUUACACAUGAGGAAGCCUGCACAGAGCCGGAGACAAUGCCAGCGCUGCAGCCAUGUCUUGAGACUGCUGGAAAGUCAGGGGAAGAUCCUGAUUGAGACACUCCAAAGAAGGGGUGAAAAACUCUUUCAGUAGGCUCAGGUGACACUAAGAUCCACUGGGACACUGGGUUCCCCACUUUAGGGGUCUCGCUCUACCAUAUGAGAUGUCCUUAUAGAAUCUUGGACUAUUAUAUCGGGUAGGAUUGGGGUUCUGGUUCUGCCCUCUCAGCUUCUAGUUGAGGGUACUUGCCCAUUUACAGUGAUGUUCCACUGGGACCUGCCAUCAAAUUCUGGUGACACUGACACCCAACACUUGUCCAGGAGUAAUUCUGCUGUGGCAUCCUCAUAGCUUCUCAGUUCCACCUCAAAGACCAUGCUCUGAUGGCUGACUCAUGGUGGUCAUUUCUCUGUUGUAGAACUCAGUGAAGGACUCAUCUUAGGAAGGGAAUUAUUUGGUGUACUCAUGGAGAAGUUUCUUCUUCUGCCCUCCUGCCCCCAGAAUACACCUCACAAUACCCUUACCUUUAGCUACCCUUGUCUGGAUCUCUAGUGUCUGAGUGCCCCUCCUAGAGCCUGCUGAAUGAGAAUGUCAAGCCUUGGGAAUAGGUAGAAAUGCUCAAGGAAAGUUCUCUCUCAGCCCACCAGCCGUCCACUGACAUCUGAUCUAGGACUGCAGCACCAAUGAGCCAUCUCCUGGUGGCAGAACAGCUUGCUUCCUUGGCCUGCCCACUUGGGUUAGUGUUUCUUUAACCGAGUAGCAGCAGAAUAGUACUAGCUUAGGACAAGAGCGGAGGCUAGAGCAGGCCCUUUGGUUUGUGGAGUUGCAGAGCAAAAGAGGACUCAAGGGAACUCUUUGCUUCAUGGACAAGGGGGCCUGAAGACCAGCGAGGGGAAGGGACUUCACCAAGGUCUCAUCUGCUGAAUGGCAGAACCAAGAAAGUUGGGUUUUGAGUCCAGUACAGACAGCCUACUGCAGAGAUUUAUUCUAUUAGCCUUUUCCGUUGGUUGGUGGGCUAUAUUCUUGAUGGACCAUGAUCUAGUCAUGUGAUCAUUUGUUUUUAGCAACAUCAUUUAGUCUUCUAAAGAAGAGGGUCUGUCAAUAUAACUCCAAUUUAUAUUAUACCUCCAAUAUGGAUAAGUAUCUGCUAAGGAAUAAGAUAAAAUAUAGCUCAAAAA